AGGGAAUCUUCGGCAAUGGACGGAAGUCUGACCGAGCAACGCCGCGUGAGUGAAGAAGGUUUUCGGAUCGUAAAGCUCUGUUGUAAGAGAAGAACGAGUGUGAGAGUGGAAAGUUCACACUGUGACGGUAUCUUACCAGAAAGGGACGGCUAACUACGUGCCAGCAGCCGCGGUAAUACGUAGGUCCCGAGCGUUGUCCGGAUUUAUUGGGCGUAAAGCGAGCGCAGGCGGUUAGAUAAGUCUGAAGUUAAAGGCUGUGGCUUAACCAUAGUACGCUUUGGAAACUGUUUAACUUGAGUGCAAGAGGGGAGAGUGGAAUUCCAUGUGUAGCGGUGAAAUGCGUAGAUAUAUGGAGGAACACCGGUGGCGAAAGCGGCUCUCUGGCUUGUAACUGACGCUGAGGCUCGAAAGCGUGGGGAGCAAACAGGAUUAGAUACCCUGGUAGUCCUGGCCGUAAACGAUGGGUACUAGGUGUAGGAGGUAUCGACCCCUUCUGUGCCGGAGUUAACGCAAUAAGUACCCCGCCUGGGGAGUACGACCGCAAGGUUG
rnacentral:rRNA from 1 species